rnacentral:rRNA from 1 species
GAUGAACGCUAGCGGCAGGCCUAAUACAUGCAAGCCGGACGGCAAGUUGAGUAGCAAUACUUGACCUAGAGUGGCGUAAGGGUGCGUAACACGUAUGCAAUCUGCCCACAGCCGGGAGAUAGCCCUCCGAAAGGAGGAUUAAUAUCCCAUAGGAAGAUGAGAUGGCAUCAUUUUAUUUUUAAACUACGGGGCUGUGGAUGAGCAUACGGUUGAUUAGCUAGUUGGCGGGGUAAAGGCCCACAAGGCGAUGAUCAAUAGGGGACCUGAGAGGGUGAUCCCCCACACUGGCACUGAGAUACGGGCCAGACUCCUACGGGAGGCAGCAGUAGGGAAUAUUGGGACAAUGGGUGUAAGCCUGAUCCAGCCAUGCCGCGUGCAGGAAGAAGG